UGGGGUAUAGCUAAGUGGUAAGUACAUGCUUAGCAUGCACGAGGUCCUGGGUUCAAUCCCCAGUACCUCUA
rnacentral:tRNA from 1 species